rnacentral:lncRNA from 1 species
GGGUCCAAGGCAAGUUCAGGGUCAAAGUCCUUCAAUGUUCUGUUUGUCUGUCUCCAGUCCUGCCUCUUCCCAGCCUUGCCGUGGGGAGCAUGGUCCCACCAAGACGUGGACAGCAGAGGCACUCUGCCAUACACUUACUUGUAUCCAUUCUCCCCCAAACUCCUCUCCCAUCCAGGCUGCCACAUAACAUUGAGCAGAGUUCUUAUGCUAUACAAUAAGUCCUUGUUGGUUAUUCAUUUUAAAUAUAACAGUAAGACUCUAGCAUUUUCUGUGCCAGCAGAACUUGAAGAGACUCUGGGGAAACACAUUGGUGUUGAUGAAAAACUAAUCAGUAGUCAAUCUAAGAAAGAAAUGAGGGCUUCCCUGGUGGUCCAGUGGUAAAGAAUCCACCUGCCAGUGCAGGGGACAAGAGCUCAGUCCCUACUGCAGGAGGAUCCCAUAUGCCGAAGGGCAACUAACCCGAUGUACUACAACUACUGAGCCCACGUGCUUCAAGUACUGAAGCCCAUCCUCCACGGCAAGAGAAGACACUGCAAUGAGAAGCCGGGACACCACAACAAAGACCAUCCCCUGCUCACUGCAACUGGAGAAAGCCUGCACACAGCAAUAAAGACCCAGCAACCCUCCAAAUAAA